rnacentral:sRNA from 1 species
ACUGGUGGCGCACUUCCCGUUAACGGGCAGUAUCGUCAUGUCUGCAGUUUGCACACCGAUACCCGGCCCGCCAUGAGCGGGCUUUUUUUU